CGGCGUGCUUAACACAUGCAAGUCGAACGAACCUUCGGGUUAGUGGCGGACGGGUGAGUAACGCGUGGGAAUCUGCCCUCAGGAGGGGGAUAACGGCCGGAAACGGCCGCUAAUACCCCAUAUGCCGAGAGGUGAAAUGAAUUUCGCCUGAGGAUGAGCCCGCGUCUGAUUAGCUAGUUGGUGAGGUAAGAGCUCACCAAGGCAUCGAUCAGUAGCUGGUCUGAGAGGAUGAUCAGCCACACUGGGACUGAGACACGGCCCAGACUCCUACGGGAGGCAGCAGUGGGGAAUUUUCCGCAAUGGGCGAAAGCCUGACGGAGCAACGCCGCGUGAGGGAUGAAGGCCUCUGGGCUGUAAACCUCUUUUAUCAAGGAAGAAGAUC
rnacentral:rRNA from 1 species